UACAGAGGUCUCAAGCGUUGUUCGGAUUCAUUGGGCGUAAAGGGCGCGUAGGCGGCAAGGCAAGUCGGGUGUGAAAGCCCCGGGCUUAACUUGGGAAUUGCGCUCGAAACUACUUGGCUGGAGUGUGGCAGAGGAAGGUGGAAUUCCAGGUGUAGCGGUGAAAUGCGUAGAGAUCUGGAGGAACACCGAUGGCGAAGGCAGCCUUCUGGGCCAACACUGACGCUCAUGCACGAAAGCGUGGGGAGCAAACAGG
rnacentral:rRNA from 1 species